CCAAGGCUGAAGGUCCGAAACCUAGAUCCUCGUAUUCUUGAUCGUAGUUAAUUUAUUUGUUAUAAUCUUUGUCCACUUUUUGUAGAUCAAAUUACACACGCGUAGUGAUAUUAAUUGUGGUUGAAGGCUUGAUUUGUGGAUUCUUCACCAAUAAAGCUGGAUUUGUGGUUCCUCCAGGUUCUAAGUUUCUUGAUGGCUGAAACAAUUGCUGCACUAGGAGCAGCAGCAGGAGUAAUGCAGGCUGUGUCCCAAGCUAAGCCAAUAUUUUGGGAUCCACUCAUGACCAAAGUCAACCAUUCAGAAAAUGUAGAGGAGAUUCAUUAUUAUUUAAAUGAUGCAGUCAACAUGUAAAGAUGGAUUUCAAGAAUGAAGUCGAGAGAAAUAAGAUGAAGAAGCCAUCUGAAGCUUACUUGGAAUGGAACCGCAGGGUGAUGAAGAUUGAAGAAGAAGUGGAAGAAUUAGUAGCCAAUUAUAAAAAACCCAGCAAACGUUUUAGUUUUCCCUCUCGUUCAGGUUUCAAAGAAAAGAUGAAAAAGAUGUACAAAAGAGUAAUCAAUCUUCGAGAUGAGGGCGAACAAAUUAGAGAGAAAAUUUUGGUUAAUCGACCACCAGAAACUGUUGUGAAUAUGAGGGCACCAGAUAUCAAAAAAUUUGAAACACUUCAAAAGUCACUAGAACAGAUACUGGAUCUGCUGAAAGGCAACAAGGUUAAAGGGAUCAGAAUCCACGGGCCAUUGGGGAUUGGGAAAACAACCAUAAUGCUCAACUUGAAUAACCACGAACAAGUUGCCAAAAUGUUUGACAUAGUCAUCUGGCUCAAAGUAUCAAAGGAGGGGAGCAAGGAAAAUUUGAGCAGGAAAUGUCUACAACAGGAAAUUGUGCAAAGACUACAACUCAAGAUGCGAGACACUAGUAAUGCUGAUGAAGUUGCCCAAAGAAUAUUAACGGAGUUGAAGGACAAGAACUACUUGUUACUUUUGGAUGAUGUCAAGGAUGAUAUCAAUUUAUAUGAAAUAGGGAUUCCUUAUAGCAACAAUCGCAGCAAAAUAGUAUUGACGACUAGGCUGCAUCAUGUUUGUUCCUCAAUGGUGAAAAAGGAAAUUAAGGUGACGUAUUUAUCUACAGAUGAAGCAUGGAAGAUGUUUCAAGAUGUUUUAGGAAGCCCAAAACUUGUUGAAAAUCCGGAAAUUGGGCCACUUGCAUGGCGAGUGUGCAGAGAGUGUGGUGGACUUCCACUCUUGAUUGAAAAAGUAGCAAAUACUUUCAAAUUGAAAAAUGACAUGUACCUUUGGAGUGAGGGAUUGAAUAGUUGGAGGAUGUGGCCUGAAAAAGAAUGCCAAGGCAUUCGAGAAAUGUAUAAACUGGUGAAAUUUUGUUAUAAUGAUUUGGAUGAGGACCGACAAAAGAAAUGCUUUCUUUAUGGUGCAUUAUAUCCAGAAGACAUUGACAUAAACACAAAUUCUUUGUUGGAGUGUUGGGCAGCUGAAGAUCUCCUUGGCAAUGAUCAUGGCAAAACAAAGACAAGUGUCAUGAUUGCGCACUGCAUAUUGAAUCGCCUUAUGAAUGUGUCAUUACUUGAGGAAGGUAAGAGUGAGAAUCACAUUACAAUGCACAAAUUCAUACGACAAGUGGCCUUGUAUAUAGCAGAGGAUGAUCCUGAAUGUAAAUAUCUUGUACAAACAAAUAGAUCAUUAAGAGAGGCCCCAGAUGUGAAAUCUUGGAGUGACAAAUAUAGGAUCUCCUUGGGUGACAAUGAGUUGGUUUGGUUACCAGAUUCCCCUUGUUGUACCAUGCUUUCCACACUCUUCCUGCAAAAAAAUUUGGAUCUGACCGAAAUUCCUGAGUUAUUCUUCAAACACAUGAAAAAUCUUCGAGUUUUGGAUUUAUCUCAUACCGGAAUAAUUUUGUUACCAUCAUCAAUAUCAAUGUUGAUUAGUCUCAAAAAUCUAUAUCUAAAUGAUUGCAAAGAUUUAAUGGAGCUUCCUUCUGACAUUGGUGAACUUGCUCAACUUGAAGCACUUGAUAUUCGGGGGAGUGGAGUCAAUAAUAUACCACCUCAUAUUGAAAAAUUGAUCCAUCUAAGACGUUUGCUAGUAUCCUUCACCAAGUUGAGAAAUGGAAAUGCCACUCAAGAGGUAGCUUUUGGUUACAAUAUGAUAUCAAAACUAUCUAGAUUGGAAGAAUUGGUCAUUGAUAUGAAAUCACCUGAGCAGUGGUUCAAUGAGGUGGUAGAAAAUAUCAUAAAAGAAGUGGCUUCAUUGAAAGAAUUGAAGAUUUUGAAGUUUUGCAUUUCCAACAAGGUUGUAGAUUUCAUAAAGCUAGUGAAUAUGAAUCUCCGUAUAUGCCUUUCUGAAGCAACAAGUCUUCAAAGUUUUAUGGAAAGAAGUUCAGGGAGAAAUAUCCGAAGUAUCAGGUUCUUUCAAAUUUUCAUUGGUUGCCAAAACUCAGAACAUCCUGAAAUUCCUGACUUCGUCAAGUAUGAAAGGUAUAUCAAAUAUUGCAAUGGUGCAGGAAGCAAUUUUCCAACUCUUGAUGUUCUUGCUCGAGCUAAUGCAUUUGAAUUGGUCAACCACAAGGAUAUCAAGCAUCUAUCAGACUUUGGAAUUGCAAGCAUGAAAAAGGUCUUAGGUUGUCUGGUUGAAAGUUGUGAUGCAGUUGAAACAAUAGUGGGUACAGUGGACAAUGCAGAGCCAGUACUACCAAACUUAGAGGACUUGUACAUAAAGAAUUUACCAAGGUUGGAAAGCAUUUGUAAGGGCCCAAUGCAACCUGGAAGCCUAACCAAAUUAACAACUCUACAUCUGACAAGCUGUCAAAUGAUGGUAAAGAUUUUUCCUCUAGGCGUGAUUCAACAACUUCAUGAACUCCAGUAUUUGAGAAUUGAAAAGUGCCAAGAAAUUGAAGAAAUAAUUGCAGAAUCUGACACGGUUGGAAAUCUGGAUUUACUGCCAAAGCUAAAGGAACUGAUUCUCCUUGAAAUGCAAAAAUUACGAAGUGUUUGUGCAUUUGAGUCACUGGAGUGGAGAUCCUUGGAGAAGAUUGGGAUUUUGAACUGUUCUGUUUUGUUUAAAUUACCUUUCAACAAAAAGAAUGCAGCAAAGCUGCAAACUAUUGAAGUAGAGCAACAAUGGUGGGAAGCAUUGCAGUGGCAGAAUGAUGAGGUCAAAGAACGGCUUCAAAAAUUAUUGACCUUCAGUCCAUAGAUCUCGCAAUGAGGCUACUCUCUGAAGAUGGUCGUAUGAGCUUUCGAAAUCCAGCAGCACUGGAUCCUUUUCGCCUUCGCUCUUUUGCGAAAAAUACUUGAGAGAUCUCUGUGUCAUGAAGUUUCCAAGUUAGUUUGGAUGAGAUAGUGUUGUUGAGUGCUUCUUCGUGUGUUUGUUCCUUCGUGAUUGUGUUCUUCUGUGUUCCUUCUAUGCUGGAACAACUUUACAUCAGGUAUGAUAUACUUGACAAAUCCUAAAAUAUGAACGGUUCAAAUUAUCAAAAUUAGGCUCAAAAGUGGGCCCAAUGGCCUACCAAGUAGGGAGCCAAGGAGAGGAUCCUUGCUCGAAGUCCUGCAAGCAACAUAAAGUGAUAAAGCCAUGGGAUUUUCCUAUGGAAAAAAAUUCCGUAAGAUUUUUUUUUAUUUCUAAUCAAGAGUACCGUGUAAUUUAAUUGGUCAGAUUAUAUUUUUGAAUAUGAAUUAGUUCAAUUUUGAGGUUUUAAGCCUUUCCCCCUCCUACAUGACGUAUAACUCAACAAUGCUAGUCA